rnacentral:rRNA from 1 species
GACGAACGCUGGCGGCGUGCCUAAUACAUGCAAGUAGAACGCACAGUUUAUACCGUAGCUUGCUACACCAUAGACUGUGAGUUGCGAACGGGUGAGUAACGCGUAGGUAACCUGCCUGGUAGCGGGGGAUAACUAUUGGAAACGAUAGCUAAUACCGCAUAAUAUUGAUUAUUGCAUGAUAAUUAAUUGAAAGGUGCAAUUGCACCACUACCAGAUGGACCUGCGUUGUAUUAGCUAGUAGGUGAGGUAACGGCUCACCUAGGCGACGAUACAUAGCCGACCUGAGAGGGUGAUCGGCCACACUGGGACUGAGACACGGCCCAGACUCCUGCGGGAGGCAGCAGUAGGGAAUCUUCGGCAAUGGACGAAAGUCUGACCGAGCAACGCCGCGUGAGUGAAGAAGGUUUUCGGAUCGUAAAGCUCUGUUGUAAGAGAAGAACGGGUGUGAGAGUGGAAAGUUCACACUGUGACGGUAUCUUACCAGAAAGGGACGGCUAACUACGUG